GGCUUUUCCAGUAAGACACACCCUUUUUGAACUACGUGGGACACAAUGGAGGCUUUUCAGAAGGAGAAGAGGCAACCACAGACCCUGCAGCACUGUGAACUCGGGUACGAAAGGAAACAUGAAUUUGUGAAUCUUUGUAAUACUCAUUACAGUAGUUGAGUACACUGCAUCAGCAGAUCACUGUGAUGGUAAUAAAUCACUGAAACAGAAUGUGGUUCCUCUAAUUGCUUUCACUUUUUGUGUUGAAUGGACACCUUUCAUCAGCAAUAGCCUGAGCAAAGAUAUUCCUGCCCUGCAAAAUGAGUCUGCGGAGAGAUGUACGUGUUUGCAGUUUUUCGUUCAGUCACAAAGUAAGGAUUAUCUGCUAAUUUGGGCAAAAAGUUUCUCAGUCAAUAUGAAUGUGGGUACUGUUGUCUGAAAGGAGGAUUUAUCUCAUGCAAUAAAGACAAAAAUAAAU
ensembl:lncRNA